rnacentral:lncRNA from 1 species
CAGGCGGUGGCGGCGGUGGCGACGGCCGCACGGCUGCGGCCUCCCUCGGAGAAGCUCCGGUCGCGAGGAUGAAGGGCGGGGCCGCCUCCCGGACCAAUCACUGUCACUCAAGUUGCAGGGGAGGAGGUACAAAUGGUGAGAAACAGGAGAAGCCAGGAGAAUGCACAGAGGAGAGCUGCUGUAAACAGUGCCUGGGCCAUGUUUAUGUGAGUGUGGGUGAGCACUUGAAAGGUCUGCUGGGAAAGGGCAACGGGAGGCCUGGAAAGUGCUGCCUUUGGAGGGAGCUGACUCAGUGCAACAGGGAGGACUGGAUUGUGGCCAGUUAAAAUGAGCACUAGGCAGCGAGGCCAUUUUACAACCUAUCAGUCUUAUGUAAUGCUUAGGUUGACAUCGCAUUCAGAGCCUUACCUCCUUUCCUCAGAGAUGGCUCACUGGGAGAUGAACUUGGCAGGCAGCACAGCAUCUCUUUGAGUCUCCUAGAGGCUCAGGGGCUGCAGGGAGGACAGAAUCGGAUGGGAGGACGGAGCUGGGGUGGGGCUGGAAGUGGGUGACCAGAUCAGCCUAGGCAAGGGGCUGGCUGCCCACUGGUAGAAGGCAGAUUCUACCUGAAGCUUGAUUCCAAGACGCUAAAACCCAUCUUUUCCUCAAAAGAAUCGUAUGUUCUGGUGGACUGCUUUCCUCCUAUCAGGAAAGGGCUCAAAUGGCCUGGGAUUUCUUGGAGGGGAAGAAUUAGGGAACCAAAGGGGAUUGCCUUAUGACUUAUUCUGGUUAUUACUGAUGUGCUGCAAAUACCCCACAACUUAGGUGGUUUAAACCAGCUACCAUUUUAUUAUGCCAAUGGAUUGUUUAAGCCAGGGAGCUAGACAGGCACAGUGGGAACUUGAUUCUGCCCCAUUAUGUUUGGGGUGUCAGUUGAGAAGACUCUAAGUCUAGGGGUGCCUUGACAGCUGGGAGUUGCAGUCAUCUGAAGCGUAUGCACUUGCCUGAGUGGCACCUGGGCUGGGAGGACUUGAAGAUCAGACGUGCUGACUGUGGUGCCUGCCUGUGGCUUGUCUGUGUUGCCUGGUUUCCUCAUGGCCUGGUGGUCUCGGCUUAGAUGGACUUCUUACAUGGUGGCUCAGGACUCCAAGUGUGACAGUUUCAGCAAACAAGAAGCUGCAAUGCCACUUCCCAGCGGGGCUCGGAAGUCAUGUAGCGUCACUUCCACUGUAUGCUGUUGACAUAAUAGUUAUAUAGCCCCCUUGCUGGGCGCAGUGGCUCACGCCUGCAAUCCCAGCACUUUGGGAGGCCAAGGUUGGUGGAUCACCUGAGGUCAGGAGUUCAAGA